UGGGGAGUAUUGCACAAUGGGGGAAACCCUGAUGCAGCAACGCCGCGUGGGUGAAGAAGGCCCUUGGGUCGUAAAGCCCUUUCGACAGGAAAGAAGGGACAUCCUGCAAACAGUUGGAUGUUUUGACGGUACCUGGUGAAGAAGCACCGGCUAAUUUCGUGCCAGCAGCCGCGGUAAUACGAAAGGUGCAAGCGUUGUUCGGAAUUAUUGGGCGUAAAGCGCACGCAGGCGGGUUCGUAUGUCGAUUGUGAAAUCCCAAGGCUCAACCUUGGAACUGCAGUCGAAACUGCGAAUCUUGAAUACCUGAGAGGGUGGGAGAAUUCCUGGUGGAGAAGUGAAAUUCGUAGAUAUCAGGAGGAAUACCGGAGGCGAAGGCGCCUACCUGGCAGUGUAUUGACGCUCAAGUGCGAAAGCGUGGGGAGCAAACAGG
rnacentral:rRNA from 1 species